rnacentral:tRNA from 1 species
AAUAAGAUGGCCGAGUUCACAAGCGGUAGACUGUAAAUCUUCACACGAAAUUUUUUUUCUCUUAUUA